AUUGAACGCUGGCGGCAGGCCUAACACAUGCAAGUCGAGCGGAAACGAUCCUAGCUUGCUAGGAGGCGUCGAGCGGCGGACGGGUGAGUAACGCGUGAGAAUCUACCCAUGAGUGGGGGACAACCCGGGGAAACUCGGGCUAAUACCGCAUACGCCCUACGGGGUAAAGCAGGGGACCUUCGGGCCUUGCGCUGAUGGAUGAGCUCGCGUCGGAUUAGCUUGUUGGUGAGGUAAAGGCUCACCAAGGCGACGAUCCGUAGCUGGUCUGAGAGGAUGAUCAGCCACACCGGGACUGAGACACGGCCCGGACUCCUACGGGAGGCAGCAGUGGGGAAUCUUGGACAAUGGGGGCAACCCUGAUCCAGCCAUGCCGCGUGUGUGAAGAAGGCCUUCGGGUUGUAAAGCACUUUCAGCAGGGAGGAAGGCUUACCCCUAAUACGGGUGAGUACUUGACGUUACCUGCAGAAGAAGCACCGGCUAAUUUCGUG
rnacentral:rRNA from 1 species